GACGAACGCUGGCGGCGUGCUUAACACAUGCAAGUCGAACGGACAGGCCCUGCUUUUGUGGGGUGCUCGAGUGGCGAACGGGUGAGUAACACGUGAGUAACCUGCCCUUGACUUUGGGAUAACUUCAGGAAACUGGGGCUAAUACCGGAUAUGAUCUCCUGCUGCAUGGUGGGGGUUGGAAAGUUUCGGCGGUUGGGGCUGGACUCGCGGCUUAUCAGCUUGUUGGUGGGGUAGUGGCUUACCAAGGCUUUGACGGGUAGCCGGCCUGAGAGGGUGACCGGCCACAUUGGGACUGAGAUACGGCCCAGACUCCUACGGGAGGCAGCAGUGGGGAAUAUUGCACAAUGGGCGGAAGCCUGAUGCAGCAACGCCGCGUGCGGGAUGACGGCCUUCGGGUUGUAAACCGCUUUCGCCUGUGACGAAGCGUGAGUGACGGUAAUGGGUAAAGAAGCACCGGCUAACUACGUG
rnacentral:rRNA from 1 species